ACACGCAGUCGAGCGGUAGGACCCUUUCGGGGGUUUGAGAGCGGCGUACGGGUGAGUAACGCGUACACAAUCUACCUUCAAGCGGGGAAUAGCCCUGGGAAACUGGGAUUAAUGCCCCAUAGGAUUACUGGAAGGCAUCUUUUGGUAAUUAAAGCUCCGGUGUUUGAAGAUGAGUGUGCGUCUGAUUAGCUAGUUGGUAGGGUAACGGCCUACCAAGGCUACGAUCAGUAGGGGGCGUGAGAGCGUGGACCCCCACACGGGUACUGAGACACGGACCCGACUCCUACGGGAGGCAGCAGUAAGGAAUAUUGGUCAAUGGAGGAAACUCUGAACCAGCCAUCCCGCGUGCAGGAAGACGGCCCUCUGGGUUGUAAACUGCUUUUAUCUGGGAAGAAAAGCCGACAUUCAUGUUGGUCUGACGGUACCAGAGGAAUAAGCACCGGCUAACUCCGUGCCAGCAGCCGCGGUAAUACGGAGGGUGCAAGCGUUAUCCGGAAUUACUGGGUUUAAAGGGUGCGUAGGCGGCGCUGUAAGUCAGAGGUGAAAGGUUCCGGCUCAACCGGAGAAUUGCCUUUGAUACUGUGGUGCUAGGAUAAGGUUGAGGUUGGCGGAAUGUGACAUGUAGCGGUGAAAUGCAUAGAUAUGUCAUAGAACACCGAUUGCGAACGCAGCUAACUGGACCUUUAUUGACGCUGAGGCACGAAAGCGUGGGGAGCAAACAGGAUUAGAUA
rnacentral:rRNA from 1 species